GACGAACGCUGGCGGCGUGCUUAACACAUGCAAGUCGAACGAUGAAGCCGGAGCUUGCUCUGGCGAAUUAGUGGCGAACGGGUGAGUAACACGUGAGUAACCUGCCCUUGACUCUGGGAUAACUGCUAGAAAUGGUAGCUAAUACCGGAUACGACCCUCGGAGGCAUCUUCAGGGGGUGGAAAGAAUUUCGGUCAAGGAUGGACUCGCGGCCUAUCAGCUAGUUGGUGAGGUAAUGGCUAACCAAGGCGACGACGGGUAGCCGGCCUGAGAGGGUGACCGGCCACACUGGGACUGAGACACGGCCCAGACCCCUACGGGAGGCCGCAGUGGGGAAUAUUGCACAAUGGGCGCAAGCCUGAUGCAGCAACGCCGCGUGUGGGAUGACGGCCUUCGGGUUGUAAACCUCUUUUAGUAGGGAAGAAGCGAAAGUGACGGUACCUGCAGAAAAAGCACCGGCUAACUACGUGCCAGCCGCCGCGGUAA
rnacentral:rRNA from 1 species